rnacentral:tRNA from 1 species
GGGCCCGUGGUCUAGCCCGGUAUGACGUCCGCUUGACGUGCGGAAGGUCGCGUGUUCAAUUCACGCCGGGCCCACCA